AGGCAGCAGUCACGGUGGACAAGGUUCACCUUCAGGAGGAAGCCAGCAUGGUGGGCAGGGUUCACACUUCUCAGGAGGCAACCAGUAUGGUGGACAGGGUCCGUAUUUCUCAGGUGGCAGCCCUUACGGAGGACAGGGCUUUUCUUCAGGAGGCAGCCACUCUGGUGGACAGGGUGGAUGUCUGUGUCCUGGUGGAAGUCCAG